GGUCUCGUAGUUCAACGGAUAGAAUAAGAGUUUCCUAAACUUUCGAUCCGGGUUCGAUUCCCGGCGAGACCA
rnacentral:tRNA from 1 species